rnacentral:rRNA from 1 species
CAGCAGCCACGGGAAUACAGAGGGUGCGAGCAUUAAUCGGAUUUACUGGGCGUAAAGCGUGCGUAGGCGGCUUCUUAAGUCGGAUGUGAAAUCCCUGAGCUUAACUUAGGAAUUGCAUUCGAUACUGGGAAGCUAGAGUAUGGGAGAGGAUGGUAGAAUUCCAGGUGUAGCGGUGAAAUGCGUAGAGAUCUGGAGGAAUACCGAUGGCGAAGGCAGCCAUCUGGCCUAAUACUGACGCUGAGGUACGAAAGCAUGGGGAGCAAACAGGAUUAGAGACCCCCGUAGUCCCUGUCUCUUAUAC